rnacentral:rRNA from 1 species
CGCGUAGGCGGUUCGACAAGUUGGAUGUGAAAGCCCUGGGCUCAACCCGGGAAUUGCAUUCAAUACUGUCUUACUAGAAUUCGGUAGAGGUUGGUAGAAUUCCCAGUGUAGAGGUGAAAUUCGUAGAGAUUGGGAAGAAUACCCGUGGCGAAGGCGGCCAACUGGACCGACAUUGACGCUGAGGCGCGAAAGCGUGGGGUAGAAAACA